UAAGAGGUCUUGCCUGCCCUGUGACCAUGUGUUUAACGGCCGCGGUAUUUUGACCGUGCAAAGGUAGCGCAAUCACUUGUCCUUUAAAUGUGGACCUGUAUGAAUGGCAUGACGAGGGCUUAACUGUCUCCUCUUUUUAGUCAAUGAACUUGAUCUUCCCGUGCAGAAGCGGGAAUAGGACCAUAAGACGAGAAGACCCUAUGGAGCUUUAGACGCAAAGCAGACCCUGUCAAAGCCCUGAAAUAACAGCACCAAACUAAGGGAGACCUGCUUGAAUGUUUUUGGUUGGGGCGACCGCGGGGUACCAAAAAACCCCCAUGUGGAGUGAAAGAACACUUUUAAAACUAAGAGCCACCACUCUAAGUAGCAAAACUUUUGACCAGUAUAUGAUCCGGCUGCGGCCGAUUAACGAACCGAGUUACCCUAGGGAUAACAGCGCAAUCCUCUUUAAGAGCCCAUAUCGACAAGAGGGUUUACGACCUCGAUGUUGGAUCAGGACAUCCUAAUGGUGCAACCGCUAUUAAGGUUCGUU
rnacentral:rRNA from 1 species